rnacentral:rRNA from 1 species
AUACGGAGGGUGCAAGCGUUACUCGGAAUCACUGGGCGUAAAGCGCGCGCAGGCGGCCUGAUAAGUUGGAUGUGAAAGCCUACGGCUCAACCGUAGAACUGCAUCCAAAACUGUCAGGCUAGAGUGUGGGAGAGGAAGAUGGAAUUAGUUGUGUAGGGGUAAAAUCCGUAGAGAUAACUAGGAAUACCAAAAGCGAAGGCAAUCUUCUGGAACACUACUGACGCUGAGGCGCGAAGGCGUGGGGAGCAAUCAGGAUUAGAAACCCCAGUAGUCC